rnacentral:rRNA from 1 species
GAAAUCUAUUUAGGUAGAGCGUCACGUAUUACCCACGGGGGUAGAGCACUGUUAAGGCUAGGGGGUCAUCCCGACUUACCAACCCUUUGCAAACUCCGAAUACCGUGGAGUACAGCGUGGCAGACACACUGCGGGUGCUAACGUCCGUAGUGAAAAGGGAAACAACCCAGACCGUCAGCUAAGGUCCCAAAGUUACAGUUAAGUGGGAAACGAUGUGGGAAGGCUCAGACAGCUAGGAGGUUGGCUUAGAAGCAGCCACCCUUUAAAGAAAGCGUAAUAGCUCACUAGUCGAGU